AAGCACUUCCCCCAUCACCGGAUAUCAUUCAUCUGGAUUUUCUUUAUUCCCCUCAUUGAUUUUAUCAUGCAUGGCAGCAGAAGGAUCCCCACCCUUCAUCAGUCCUGAAUCGUCAGCUCCCAAACAUCCUGAGGGAUGGGAGAUUCAGACAUCAUGCAUGAAUGUGAACAGUCAAGGAACCUGGAGGCGAGAAGACUUCCGUUUGAACAAAGAACCAGGAGGGAAGAAAUCCAUUCUUGCUCUCCGUCUCUCUGUAUGGUCCUCCUUCCCUCUCUCUCUUCAGUCAGGCCUUGAGGCUGUAAUGGAAGAGAACUGAAAGCCUCCAACUUUGUCCCCCUGUGCAUUCGUUAGACAGGUUGAUGGUCCUUUGAUUAUGUGAGGAACAUAAACCUCCUUCACAAAGGACAUACCGGGUGGCAGGAGUAGGGGUGCCCAGGUACGACAGGAAGAAAGAGCACUCCCUCUGCUUUUCUCACCCUUGACCUUAGACUGCCUUCGGCUCCUUAACUCACAGAUAAGUCAGAGGCUUGCAGAGUAGGCAGAGGAAUGGGUAGGUGUCUUGAGGAGGGCAGAAGAGCUGUCUGGAUGGGGUCAGCAGGUGCAGGUGUGGGAAUCACUGUCCUUGGGAUGACCCAAAUCUGAUGUAUUACCUGGGUCUGAUGAGAGGACAAGGUGAGCAGAGUCCAAAAUCAGGAGGGGACAAAGACAAAGACACGGAGGGGAGUUAGGAGGCAUCUGCCUGAUGUCAUGUGUUAGGAAAUCACUGGGCUUGUUCUCAGCUGAUUUUGAGCAUAUCCUGGUUUUAUUUGAAAGCAUUAAGCUUUCAGCAAGGCAACUCCUGACUCCACACAGUGUAUAAUGGAGAUCAUUUUUCCUUCUGGAAUCGCCUAUCUCUACCCCUAAGUGACACGGACCUUCGCAAGGAAUUAACGGUCCCAUUUUAAAUACAGCUUGAGAAGAAGAGACCCCACAUCUCUGAGUAAAUGACCACUGCCAUGACCUUGCC
rnacentral:lncRNA from 1 species